UACGUAGGUGGCAAGCGUUGUCCGGAUUUACUGGGCGUAAAGGGCGUGCAGGCGGUUUGUUAAGUUCAGGGUGAAAGCUCCCGGCUCAACUGGGAGAGGUCCUUUGGAUACUGGCAGACUUGAGGGAGGGUAGAGGAGAGUGGAAUUCCCGGUGUAGUGGUGAUAUGCGUAGAUAUCGGGAGGAACACCAGUGGCGAAGGCGGCUCUCUGGGCCCUACCUGACGCUGAGACGCGAAAGCGUGGGGAGCGAACCGG
rnacentral:rRNA from 1 species